UCCGGUUUAACACCGGCAGUCUCCUUAGAGUCCCCGGCAUGACCCGCUGGUAACUAAGGACAAGGGUUUCGCUCGUUAAGCGACUUAACGCGACAUCUCACGACACGAGCUGACGACAGCCAUGCAGCACCUGUGCAAAGGCUCCCUUGCGGGCACCCCUCCGUUUCGGGAGGGUUCCUAAGCAUGUCAAGACUAGGAUAAGGUUCUUCGCGUAGCCUCGAAUUAAGCCACAUCCUCCACCGCUUGUGUGAGCCCCCGUCAAUUCCUUUGAGUUUUAAUCUUGCGACCGUACUCCCCAGGCGGACGACUUCACGCGUUAGCUGUGUUACUAAGGGAUUUAACUCCCCCAACAACUAGUCGUCAUCGUUUAGGGCGUGGACUAC
rnacentral:misc_RNA from 1 species